AAUACUUAGCAUAGAACAAACCAGCUUUCUAUUAUUACAUGAAUAUGAAUACAAGGUCUCCGACAUUACAAUGAAUAACAUCGGCCCGGUGAUACUUCGCCAUCCUCAGUUGCUCUAUGCAAGCAGCAGAACAACUCGAACCAGCGGGAAAACUCUGGCAGCAGAACAAUGAUAACAGUGAUGAACUCCACUCCGCAGGGACUCUGGCUGGAACGCUUAUCCUAGCUCGCAAACAAAGAAUCCACACAAACAAGCAUUCAAAUCCGGCAUGACCUGCAAACUGGCAUGACACGCCAGGUCAGUACAUUGAAUGUACUUGCAAGCUCACAAUAACCAGAAAUAUUCAAGACAAGCAUCAGCAUGGCAUUUACAGGUUAAGCAGGAAUUAACAUGAGAUCCUCAUAACAAUAUGACAUGAACAACAUGAACAUGGUACAACUAGAACAACAUGAGCAUGGCAAGAACAUAUGAAUCUGACGAUACUAGCAUGCAACAUGAUGACACUAUAUGCACCACUAAUUCUGCUCGGGCUACCUCGUAACCAUCACAUGCAUCACUUACCAUCCUCGGACAUCACACGAUCAUCUUAGGAUCAAAUCAAGCUUGGUAAAAACAAUACCGCAGUGAUCAUUAAAUGACCACAAGGAACUUGAUCUUUACCCACGAUUCUCGCACAACAUCCUGAAUAUCCAACAACUCGGUAUCCUAGAUACCAUGGUGAUCAUUCACGAAUCACAAACGGAACCACUCUGGGUUCAACGGGCUACCCCGUAACUAAACGGUGAUCUUUCCGGCGAUCACAACCAUGACCAACACCUGGUCUCAAAUGGUGAUCUUUCCGGCGAUCCCAACCAACCUAUCUCAUCAUCGAACUGGGGUUGUUAUUAAGCACAUUAUUAUUAAUACUGUUGACUCACAGUGUGACCGACACGAACUGGGCCCUUAUCUGCAGGCGCGCUUAUCGAUAGAUUUAAUAUACACUCUGGAGAGGUUAGUACACUGUACCCACACUACGGAACCCAUGGCCUCACACUCCCAUUCGGGUGGACCAACGGCGUUCCGACAAAACCAAUCUACUGUCGUGACAGUCUCCCGGCCACUCCGACCAACUCCCCUUUGGGCUAAGUCCUGGGUGGCCCCGUGCCUACCAAAGGCACCAACGGCCACCGUUGUGGCCAAAACAUAAACGGUCCCAGACAGGGACAACGCGGGUACAACAACAACAAUGGGCACACAAGGUUAUGUCUGCUUACCGGGCCAGGGUACCGCACGCCCAUAACCUUCCCUCCUUGGAGGCACCAGCGAGAGGCAUGCCAAUAGACCGAGUUAGGACCUUCCCAUAAAGGCAAGCGUGGUUGCACUGGUUAUCUCGAUAUGGUGGCACCAUGACUCAGCCAACAGUUGUUCAAGUUCAAUUUAAUCCGGUUAAACUUGAAUGCAAAUAUGCUGAGCCAUGAUAAAAUAACAUGAUGCAAAUUACAAUGCAUGAACAUGAUAUCAACAUAAGCAUGGAGGUGCAACAUAACUAUUAACCAUAUCAACAAUGAAUCAUAUCCAACUGAGCAUGACAUGCUGACUAGCAUGAAUAUCACAAGUACAUACUUCUCAGAAACAUAGCAUGACCACUAGCAUCAACAAUAAAUAUCAUGUAAGAACAUAUCAACAAUGCCAUCAUGCAAGAAUUUAACCAACUGGAUACAAUGGAACAUGCAUAACCACGAUACUCGGGACAAACGACAGUCAUGCACCGAAGACCAUCACAAACAUCAACAUGUACUACUAGCAAGCAUAAUCAUAUUAAAGAAAUACUAGCAACUCGCAAGGCGUGAUAAUCAGGUGCAUAAUAACAUAGCAAGAAAGUAAGCACUAACCCAGAAGCAUUACUAAAACAACGAUAACCAUAUUUUAAACAAGCAAACAUUUUACAAAUAUUCAAGUUGAAAACCAUGACUACUACAUGACUAUCAUGCAAGUGGGUAUUGUGGCUUGCCUAGGGAUGAAGAAAUCACCGGGACAAAGUGUGAGAGGCUUGCGGGAAGAAUUACCGGAAAAACGUUCUCUCUCGGAGGGGCCUGAUUAGGGGCAAGGGCAAGAAGGUCAUUUUCAGAACGUUAAAACGUAGUGAAAAUGAUACCAGCAAAACGGACUCGGCGAGACGAAGAAGUGGGCUUUGGAAUCACCUCAUUUGGAGUUGUGGUUAAAAAGUUAUGGUUGUUUUUCUGCCAGGGACCUAUCUAUAAUGAAAUCAUCACAAACAAGCCCUCAGCCGGAAAAAUAGAAAGCGCCUUCUCAGGAAAUACGUUUUCCAGAACGGAAAGCGUAUUUUGGCUCGAAUAAGAAACAAAAUGCGCUUUCAGUUAGCGUAGGCCUACUCCCUGGAGUACAUCUCCACUUAUCCAGUGUGGCAGUGGGAGGCCGUGGCGCUGAUCGGCUGACGAGUGGGGCCCGCCUUAUCCAUCUCUUUCUCUCUCUCUCUCUUCUCGCCU
rnacentral:lncRNA from 1 species